GGGAAGGGCCAAGAUUACCGCAGUGAUCUCAGGCCUGAGUUCUUGAGCUGCUGAACCAGAGCCUGUCAUGGCCCUACCUCUUCACUUCUUGUGAAAGACGAAAACCAGGAGAAAACGCCGAUGUUUGACACUUUCUGUCGCCGAGCUCCACCUUAGACGUGUGAAACCACACGUGCAUGUGACAGAUCCAACCAGAAGGAGGCGGCACCAGUUACCUACGGAUUCUGGUCUCCCUCUCCCUCUAACCUCCUCUCUAUCCUGCCACUGGCAUUUUCUUCCAUCCCUCCCGAUUCAGAAAACAGGACGCAGGCCCUUCACAACCCGGUCCAAGUCAACUGUUCCGAGUUCUAGCAAAACGCCUCAGUCCACUGAUACCUGGUCAGACUAACCAGCUAACUUGAGCGGUCUGAGCUUCGUAGGUUAAAGAUUCACCGAAGGACAUAAAACACCAAAAAGAAGAUCACUUCUUACACCAAAGGCAGAAAGAUCAGCUCUCUGUCGCUUGGGACUCUCUUUCUUUUGAAAAGUUUUAAAACAUCUUAUAGCACAAAAGGGAAAAUGCUUUGCUAUUUUGGGCCGCUUCUUUCACUCUUGUAAAUGACAUCUGUAAUGUCAACAUUCAGCGAGCGCUAUUCGGAAUUUGGCACUUUUAAUUCGUGUGAAAAUGCCAAUUCCACUGAGUAAAGAAGAUAUUAAAGUUAUACUCAACGUAAAGUGCAAAUAUUUCAUCAAAGUGGGUUCAAGAUAAAAGUGUUAAUUACAUGUAAAAAUUAAAUACCACCUUAUGAAUCA